AUGUGCCCACCACCGGUUAACCCUGGGCAUGUUAUGUGCUUGUUUGACAUGGGUGGCACGCUUGCAGUGUCCACCAACAAGGACGUUAUGUCGGGGAUGAGCAUCUUCACACUUCAGGACCAUCAGCAUGACGUUUGGGCGUUCCAGCACCAGAUCAAGCUGCUACUGAUGGAUAUCAGGUGUUUCGAUGAUCAGGGGGAUUGGUGCACGACGGUUAUUACCGAGGAGGGAGACGUUAUUGUCAGUUGUUAUGGACAGUUGCAGCAUUGUGACAAAAAGGGCAAUUUGGUAGCCAACUUCCCGUAUGAUGAUGACAUGCCGGUGUAUCUUCUUCAUAGGCUCAAAGAGAGACUUAUUUAG
rnacentral:rRNA from 1 species